rnacentral:rRNA from 1 species
GACGAACGCUGGCGGCGUGCUUAACACAUGCAAGUCGAACGAAGAGCGAUGGAAGCUUGCUUCUAUCAAUCUUAGUGGCGAACGGGUGAGUAACGCGUAAUCAACCUGCCCUUCAGAGGGGGACAACAGUUGGAAACGACUGCUAAUACCGCAUACGAUCUAAUCUCGGCAUCGAGGAUGGAUGAAAGGUGGCCUCUACAUGUAAGCUAUCACUGAAGGAGGGGAUUGCGUCUGAUUAGCUAGUUGGAGGGGUAACGGCCCACCAAGGCGAUGAUCAGUAGCCGGUCUGAGAGGAUGAACGGCCACAUUGGGACUGAGACACGGCCCAGACUCCUACGGGAGGCAGCAGUGGGGAAUCUUCCGCAAUGGACGAAAGUCUGACGGAGCAACGCCGCGUGAGUGAUGACGGCCUUCGGGUUGUAAAGCUCUGUUAAUCGGGACGAAAGGCCUUCUUGCGAAUAGUGAGAAGGAUUGACUGUACCGGAAUAGAAAGCCACGGCUAACUACGUG